AAUAGGUUCACAGGAAGUUGCAAAGGUGGCACUGAGAGGUCCCGUGUGCUCUUCACCCAGUUUCCUCCUGUGGUUGCGUCUUAGAUCCCAGGUACCGAACCAAAGAUGGUAGAGGAAAAGUUUUUCCUGCUUAACAUAUUCAACUCUCUACCCUCAAUAUAUUUGGCUGUUAUUAUUCUGGUUUACAUGUAUCAUAAUUUAACCAGUUCCCUACUGGUGGAUGUCUAGGUUUCCCCGAUGUUUUGCUAUUAAAAACACACAUGGUACACGUUUUUCUAGAUUGGGCAGGGUUUGCCCAUCUCCACUUCAAGCAGCA
rnacentral:lncRNA from 1 species